GCGUUCACCUAAUUCUCAUGAACUAAUUAAUUAUUGGCAGACGGACACUGGACUGCUUGACUAUGGAAGUGGUGGAAAUAUUCUACCUGGGAGAAGUGUAGCUCGUUUUGCUGAUACCUGUGGUUGGGUGCUUUCUGUGCGGUUAGAGGCCCGGGAAGAGACUCCUGUUCUCGAGAUUUGCGUGGCUAGAGUUCAGUGGGAGACAAAAGGCUCCAUAGAAGUUGAGUUUCCACUUAACGUGGGUUUGAAUGUUUUUGUUGUGGAGAGGGCUGUGCUGUAGUCUGGCAGACAAGUCAGACUGGGUGAGGUGUACGGGGUAGGGUAAGGAAUGAGUUAUUGUCCGUGCUGUUUCUCGCGGUUCGAGACUAAAUGCGUCUGUAAGAGGGAGUGCCAACAAAAUGAAUAGGAAACAGAGAAUGGAUGGGUGGAAAACCUUAUAAUUUAUUUAACCAACCAGAAGGCACGUUUGGACCAAUUUUAUUCGAGCUAUAAAUCGCUUUAAAAUAGCCCUCCGUGCAAGACAACUAUGUUCUUUGCGAUACAUUAUUUUUAAAAAAACACUUUAUUACUCUUUUGAUAAAAUCUUAUUCUACCCCGUGUGCUCGGUAUCUCACCAUGUUAAUGCAAAAACAUCCACUCUAAGCCAAAUCUAUCUUAAUUCAUUACAAUGAUUAAAGGUGGAGCUGUAGAUCUCGACGUGCAAUAUGGACUAAAAUGGCUUCUGCUGGUGCUUUCGAUAAUGCGGAUUAUCUUCAUGGGUGGUUUCUCUGUCUGUAGCAGCUGCGCUGCAGGCGAUUAGUGGGGACGGGGUGGGACGGCUUUUUGUUUCGCGUCUAAAACAAGGCGAGCCUCUUGAACAAUGUCACCAGCUGCAGAUGUUGUGAUUGUUGUAGUUAGCAAUAAAUAGUCGAAAUUAACCCCAAGAAAAAUGCCCUGCUUUCUCACAUUAAAGCUAUUUUCCACACUCUUGUCAUCUCUGACCACGAAAAAUUCCAAGCGUAAGGUCUGAUGAUUUUUUUAAACUACUAAUGAUUAACCCGAUAAUCCGUCUCUUUCCCUUCUGCUCCCCCUUCCAGUGGUAUAACCCAGGCUGCUUUGAAGAGCUGGAGAAGCCUUUCUUGUGCAAAUAACAGCCAGACGCCAACAGUUAUUGGCUAUUUAUUUCCUGCCUGUAUGAGCUGGCAGUUUGAGAGAACAUUCUAGAAGGUCUCAGCACUGAUACAAGCUUUUGUUUGUAAAGACAAAUCUGCAGUCAGAGUAGAAGGAACUAAAUCCUUUCAGAGAGACGACAGGGGAGAUGAGAAUUAUGAAAGUUUGUCUAGGUCUCCAAUAAAGUUGAAACAUAAUAACGACUGUUUUAGAUGGUUGCUGUUAAUAUUGAAAAUGUAGGUAAACUGCAGAGUAAAGCGUGUUUAUUAACUGUUUCUCCUGGGUUAUGUUUACCAUGCCACUUACUGUUCUUAAAUUCGCAGCAAAAUAUUAAAAUGCGAUACUUUCAUACAUUUUCAAAGCUAGCCAUUUCUUAGCAUGUUAUUAGGUGAAACAUAAUACCAGAAUUUGAUACAUUACGUUGCUUUUAUAAUGACGGGAUUAAAAGCGUUUAUAAAAUUGCAAGGUUAAACAAUUCCCAGUUAUUUAAACUACAGCAUGUUCUAAUAAACUUAAAUCUCCUCAGCAAAUCGCAUCCACUACGAUCAAUAAUGUAAAACCUUCCGAUUGUUGGACCCUGAUGUCUCUUGUGUAUCUGUACAUAUUGCAGCCAGACAGUAAACACCAUUAUAGAAAGCCACAGCAGUAAUUUAACCUUCCUUAACGUCGAGCAAAGCAAGAAAAUCACUAAUGCUGCAAGUAUUGCAACAGAACCUCUGGAGCUGUACGCCAAUACCUGAGGAGAAAACCUCAUCAAGACAAGCAUAACAGGGUCUCGGCAAUGACAACUCAGCUGGCUGCAGCAUUAAGAACACUUACAAGAACCUGGAAUCCAAAUCACACUGGCAUCAAGGACUUGAACAUGUCCAACGACAAUGUUAUAGUAUCUCUUGAUGAACUCUUCUGUUUCUGCAAAAAUCUCGAGCAGUAAGUUUUGUCAAGUUGAAGUGGGGAUGGUGCAUUUCAUACAAUGGCAUUGAAGAUGAAAUUAAACCUGGCCAAAGCGUUGAUACACAGAUUUUUGCUGAAAGGCCAUGAAGUAGGAGAACUGUGGCCCUAUUGUUUCUAUGACCAGAAAGAUAAAGGAAAUGGAGAUAACAGACCAGACAAUUGCAAUUGUCUCUUCAAGCAGGACAUUGAAGAAAAGCUCAGAGGUUCAUGGCCUUGAACAAGACGGUGAUACAACUGAAAACCAAUAAAAAUGACCAAACACAGGUAUCCCCUAAUAUGGCACAAUCAGAUAAAAGAAAUGAUACUUAAAAGAGACAUCAUUAAUCACUCAUUGUAGAGCAGUUUAUUCAGCUGCUCUGAAAUCAGAACAGAUCUUUUGGCGGAUCAAUCACCUGAGCCAGACUGGUUUGUGGGACUUUCAAACAAGGACUAAGUGGAUAUGUUUGCAUGCCAUGGAUGGAACUUUGGAAACUUCCACAGCCGUGAUCUUUGGUUGGCUCUUUUUCACCAGCUGCUGUGGAGCAUUGUGUUCUACUUUGGAUUUAUCCAGGUGACUGGACAUCCUGUACAUUUUAGGCCAGUGUCUUCUUGUGGAACAUGGCUUUCAUAAGUCACAGAAUUCUGGACAUUGUCUUGAUAUGUUAUCAUCAUAAGAGGAUGUCACAUUGGAAAGAAAUAUCUUGGUGGUGGUAGAAGCUGAAAUUCAAACACAAGAGAAUUUGCGGAACAGAAAGCAAAUGUAAUUUGCUAUCUGCUUCUUGUAUCUGACUUCGUAUGCUUGGAAUUUCGUGCGAAAAGAAUCGAUCAACCUGAGCUUCUAUCACCUUGUAUCCUGGCACUGGUGCCAACCAGAACUCCACACAGCAGUCUGAGCCCUGCUUACCACCACAACUUCCGAGGAGGAAGACUGUGAUCCAACAGAAGAUGCACUGGCAAGGUGUUGAGACCCGUACCCUUCAAUAGCACAGAGUCUGUCAAUGUACUACGUGAUUGAAGAAUCAAUAAGACAGACCUUCCGUUAAAGUGGCAAAUGUUCCAACAUUCUGUUGACUCCCCCAAAGCAUGGAAGGAUGACAGACAAUUUAUCUUUUUCUACAGAUUCAUGGAUAGUACACACUGCUACUACUGAGCAUCAAUUAUGGAGGGAGUGGAUGCCUGUGAAUGUAGUGCCAAUCAAGAGAGCUGCUUUAUUCUGGAUGACAUCAAGAUACUUGAGGAUUAUUGGAACUUCACCAAUCCAGGCAAGUGGAGAGUAUUCCAUCACACUCCUGACUUGUGCCUAGCUGAUGGUGGACGAACUCUGGGGAGUCAGGAGGUCAACGUGAUCCAGUGCUGGGCCAAUCCUAAUGAAGAGAAGACACCCAAACUCCUCAUACAGCUGCACUCACCCUGAUGUAGUGUGCAGGGCAGUUACCCUGUUAUACUCCACAGGGCAAUACUGUUUCCCAUUGAUAUGCAACUGAAUUCAACUGUAAGAAUUAUCACGGUUGUUUGUUUAUUGACGCCACCAUUUUAGUUGCCUGUGCUGAUAAACACCAUAUCUCCAUUUCUGCCUUAGACUUACAGUCUCCAGAGGAUACAGCAUUACCCACAAUAACUGAGAUUAACUUGAUCAAUGUGUCUCAAAUCCAGAAGCCACUUUGGGCAUUUGCUUAAGCCCUUCAGCAACCUCCCUCAACCUUGCCAAAUGAUGUAGUAAUGCUCUAAAGCACUUGGAAUUCUUUUCCUCAAAAGGCAGUGGAAGUAGAGAAUUUGCAUAUUUUAAAGCUAGAACUGGAUUGACUCUUGUUAAGCAGGGGAAAGCGAAAGUUACCAGGAGUAGUUGAGAUUGGGAAGUUGAGGUCACAGUGAGAUCAGUUUUAUUAAAUGGUGGAGUAGGUUUGAGGGGCUGAGUGGCCUAUUCCUGUUUUGCAAGUUUGUAUGAGAUGUACCAAAUGAAUACCAUAAGGAGGACCUCACAGCACAAUCUGAAAGAUCCAACCUUUUCACAAAAAUUACCAUCAGCAGAUCCCCCCCACGUUCAUGGGAAUGGGCGGGUAAACCCUGGAUUCAGUUACACGUUGACUUAUACGGGUCCUUUCAUGGGCUCAAUGUUCUUAGUUACAGUGGACACUCAAAGUGGCUGGAUUUGCAUAAAGUUAAUCAUCAAAUAUGGGGAUGAUGAAAGAAAAACUGCAUGCAUCUUUUGCAACAUAUAGAUUCCUGGAAAUGUUGGUAACAGAUAAUAGGCCAUCAUUUACCAGAAAAAAAUUUGAGUAUUUCCUCAAGUCAAAUGGUGUUUCUCGUUUAAGGACAGCUUCAUACCAUCUAUCAUCGUAUAGUCUGGCAGAAAGAGUCAUCUAAUCUUUGAAGGCAGGCUUGAAGAUACAGCCUAUGGCUUCACCAAAUACCAAACAGUCCCAGUUCCUAUUUGAUUAUAGGACCAUGCUUCAUGCAACUACAGGAAUAACUCCAGCAGAGUUGCUAAUGGAGGGAAGACUCCGCAUCAGGUUAAAUCUGACCUUUCUAGAACUGGGAUUAAGGGUGAAACAGCAUCAGGAAUGCCAAUGUUGGGCACAAGAUUCCACUAAGCAAAUGACUGACAGUUUACUUUGGGGGACAAAGUUUGAUGUAGGAACCAUGGGAAUGGCCCUGCAUGUAUAACAGGUAUGGUUGACCCAAGGUCAGAUCUAGCGACAUACAUAGUUCAGGUAGAUGUGACAGUCCUGAAUAAGUACAUGGACCAUAUGAAAGCUCACAAACAGUGUGGGAGCAAAUUUUGCUUGGGUCCUCGACUGCUUUUCUUACUGUUCCAGAAGCCAUGGGUUCUCCCUCCCUGUCAAGCGUUGAAGAUACCCUGGAAUCUGAGAUAGAUCUGGUGGAUGUUGCUGUCUUGAUGCUUUUGCCAUUUGAAGAGGAGAAUGAAUUUAUUUUGGAAUGUGCUGGGUGCAAUCUGCUGCGUGUUACAUGGUUUCAGAGAUAGUAGGAACUGCAGAUGCUGGAGAAUCUGAGAUAACAAGGUGUAGAGCUGGAUGAAUACA